GACUAAUCCAGUGGCCUAGUGGUUAGAGCAUCUACCUCGGAUGCAGGAGGCCAUGGGUUUGAUCCCCAGCCGAGUCA